rnacentral:rRNA from 1 species
GGGCAUUGGGGGGGGUGCCUUAUACAUGCAAGUAGAACGCUGAAGAGAGGAGCUUGCUCUUCUUGGAUGAGUUGCGAACGGGUGAGUAACGCGUAGGUAACCUGCCUUGUAGCGGGGGAUAACUAUUGGAAACGAUAGCUAAUACCGCAUAACAAUGGAUGACACAUGUCAUUUAUUUGAAAGGGGCAAUUGCUCCACUACAAGAUGGACCUGCGUUGUAUUAGCUAGUAGGUGAGGUAACGGCUCACCUAGGCGACGAUACAUAGCCGACCUGAGAGGGUGAUCGGCCACACUGGGACUGAGACACGGCCCAGACUCCUACGGGAGGCAGCAGUAGGGAAUCUUCGGCAAUGGGGGCAACCCUGACCGAGCAACGCCGCGGUGAGUGAAGAAGGUUUUCGGAUCGUAAAGCUCUGUUGUAAGUCAAGAACGAGUGUGAGAGUGGAAAGUUCACACUGUGACGGUAGCUUACCAGAAAGGGACGGCUAACUACGUGCCCAGCAGCCGCGGUAAUACGUAGGUCCCGAGCGUUGUCCGGAUUUAUUGGGCGUAAAGCGAGCGCAGGCGGUUUGAUAAGUCUGAAGUUAAAGGCUGUGGCUCAACCAUAGUUCGCUUUGGAAACUGUCAAACUUGAGUGCAGAAGGGGAGAGUGGAAUUCCAUGUGUAGCGGUGAAAUGCGUAGAUAUAUGGAGGAACACCGGUGGCGAAAGCGGCUCUCUGGUCUGUAACUGACGCUGAGGCUCGAAAGCGUGGGGAGCGAACAGGAUUAGAUACCCUGGUAGUCCACGCCGUAAACGAUGAGUGCUAGGUGUUGGAUCCUUUCCGGGAUUCAGUGCCGCAGCUAACGCAUUAAGCACUCCGCCUGGGGAGUACGACCGCAAGGUUGAAACUCAAAGGAAUUGACGGGGGCCCGCACAAGCGGUGGAGCAUGUGGUUUAAUUCGAAGCAACGCGAAGAACCUUACCAGGUCUUGACAUCCCGAUGCUAUUUCUAGAGAUAGAAAGUUACUUUCGGUACAUCGGUGACAGGUGGUUGCAUGGUUGUCGUCAGCUCGUGUCGUGAGAUGUUGGGUUAAGUCCCCGCCAACGAGCCGCAACCCCCUAUUGUUAGUUGCCAUCAUUCAGUUGGGCACUCUAGCGAGACUGCCGGUAAUAAACCGGAGGAAGGUGGGGAUGACGUCAAAUCAUCAUGCCCCUUAUGACCUGGGCUACACACGUGCUACAAUGGUUGGUACAACGAGUUGCGAGUCGGUGACGGCAAGCUAAUCUCUUAAAGCCAAUCUCAGUUCGGAUUGUAGGCUGCAACUCGCCUACAUGAAGUCGGAAUCGCUAGUAAUCGCGGAUCAGCACGCCGCGGUGAAUACGUUCCCGGGCCUUGUACACACCGCCCGUCACACCACGAGAGUUUGUAACACCCGAAGUCGGUGAGGUAACCUUUGGAGCCAGCCGCUAAGGUGGAUAUAGUU